AUACAGAGGGUGCGAGCGUUAAUCGGAAUUACUGGGCGUAAAGCGCGCGUAGGCGGUCUAUUAAGUCAGAUGUGAAAUCCCAGGGCUCAACCUUGGAACUGCAUCUGAUACUGGUAGACUAGAGUUUUGGAGAGGGAAGUAGAAUUUCAGGUGUAGCGGUGAAAUGCAUAGAGAUCUGAAGGAAUACCAGUGGCGAAGGCAACUUCCUGGCCAAAAACUGACGCUGAGGUGCGAAAGCGUGGGUAGCAAACGGGAUUAGAUACCCCAGUAGUCC
rnacentral:rRNA from 1 species